UGGGGGAUAUUGCACAAUGGGCGAAAGCCUGAUGCAGCGACGCCGCGUGGGGGAUGAAGGCCUUCGGGUUGUAAACUUCUUUUGCUCUGAACAAGGCAUGCUAAUGGGUGUGUUGAGUGUAGGGGUUGAUUAGCGCCGGCUAACUACGUGCCAGCAGCCGCGGUAAUACGUAGGGCGCGAGCGUUGUCCGGAAUUAUUGGGCGUAAAGGGCUUGUAGGUGGCUGGUUGCGUCUGUCGUGAAAGCUCAUGGCUUAACUGAGGGUUUGCGGUGGGUACUGGCUGGCUUGAGUGCAGUAGGGGAGGCUGGAAUUCCUGGUGUAGCGGUGGAAUGCGCAGAUAUCAGGAGGAAUACCGGUGGCGAAGGCGGGUCUCUGGGCUGUUACUGACACUGAGGAGCGAAAGCAUGGGGAGCGAACAGG
rnacentral:rRNA from 1 species